AUGUAUACUACCUGUAUAUUUAACGGGAUGUCCUAACUCCAACAAAGCUAUGUCGGCAAAACCAGUGGAUGUACUGAAUUCUGGAUGUUUUUUUAUACCCCAAACGAGCUAUCCAGGGAUACUUUGCACUAUUUGCCAACGAGCCACCGACAAUACGGGAUGGAAGAUGGAGUGUUCACGAGAAUGUCAAAAUAAUAAAAGACAUAAAUCAUACGAAGUUCAAUCCCUAAUAAAACGAUGUUACUACUAUCUCCUCUUUGAUGUUGGAACUCAGGAACUCCGUAUUAAGAACACUACAUAAACCAAUUUUAAAACGCAUUUCAAAAAUUCAUGAUAGAUGGCUCCCCUUGUAAAAUUGGUUGGAUAAACUUACCUAUUUCCACUCUUUCUAUGGACAAUAUCCAUUUGAAAAGAAUAAUUGCUCCUUGUCUCAUCUUCCAUUAUCAGUUAUGAAUGAUAGAUGAAGUACUUCAAUAGCUUAUUGAACAUUCUUGAACUCGUCAACUUCAUGGAAAUUGAAUGGGUACUAGGAAAUAAAAACAAGUUAUAGUUUAUACAUUUUAUACAUUUAUACAUAAUAUUUACAGAGAAAUUAAAUGACAAAGUGAUCCACAUUCAAUAGAAAUAAAAACUUCAUUCUCAAACAGCAA